AAUUCUCAACCCCACCGAUUUGCUUCGUGUGGUGGCUUGGACUUGGAGCGUGCUGGCGUCUCUCGACGUCGGCUCCUCUUAAAUGCAUCAGCGGAAAACCUCUUCGAUUUCCGGUCGUCAGUGUGAUAACCAUGUUACGCUGUCGCCGAUCUCAAAGUCCGCUCAUAAUCGUCCUUUCGGGACAACUUUUUAUCAA
rnacentral:misc_RNA from 1 species